rnacentral:tRNA from 1 species
GUUGGUGUAGUUUAAUUGGUUAAAAUAAUCUCUUCAUACGUGAUUGAUCUAAAGGUUCAAAUCCUUUCACCAACU